UUUGCCAAACAAAUGCAGCAAACCUGUCACAGUUACAAUCUCAUCACCAUUAUGAACAAGACAACAUCCUCAGAGUAUGAAUCUGUUAUGGCUCAUAUUUGUCAUUGAAAAAUUUAUUGUUUACUAAAGGCCCCCCAGUAAAGGGAAGAGCUCUACCCCUAGUAAAGAAUAUUUUUGUUUAGCCUGUCAGCAGUUAGUUGGGGUGGUAGAAGCAUGUCACAUAUAGGAGAAAAAGAUAUAGA
rnacentral:misc_RNA from 1 species